rnacentral:misc_RNA from 1 species
AGCAGCCGCGGUAAUUCCAGCUCCAAUAGCGUAUAUUAAAGUUGCUGCAGUUAAAAGCUCGUAGUUGAAUUUCGGGAUCAAUAUGUUGGUCGUGCCUCGGUACGUACUAGCUUAUUGGUUUCUUCCUUCUGACGAACCAUAAUGUCAUUUAUUUGGUGUUAUGGGGAAUCAGGACUGUUACUUUGAAAAAUUAGAGUGUUUAAAGCAGGCUCACGCUUGAAUACAUUAGCAUGGAAUAAUGAAAUAGGACGUUUGAUUCUAUUUUGUUGGUUUCUAGGAUCGACGUAAUGAUUAAUAGGGAUAGUUGGGGGCAUUAGUAUUCAAUUGUCAGAGGUGAAAUUCUUGGAUUUAUUGAGGACUAACUACUGCGAAAGCAUUUGCCAAGGAUGUUUUCAUUAAUCAAGAACGAAAGUUAGGGAUCGAAGACGAUCAGAUACCGUCGUAGUCUUAACCAUAAACUAUAGCCGACUAGGGAUCGGGAUGAUGUUAAUUUUUAAUGACUCAUUCGGCGCCUUAAC